UGAUGCUGUACUCCGCACUAGGAGCUCUCUGUGGCUAGCUGGCACAGCGAGAACCAGGGCAGAAACCUGGAGGCUGGAGAAUGAAAGAGGCCAGAGACGAUCAGGCAAAGGACACACCCUGACCUGGGGUCGUCAUGGAGCCUGCUGGUACCCACACCUGCCUAGACAGCCAGUGAGGAAGGCACAGCAAGCAGGGCUUGCCGAGAUGUGGUAUAGAUACCUGCACUGCAGCCCUCAACUCAGCGAAUCAGCGUUUGCACUUCCCUGUGUGUGUGUUCCUGCAUGACUGUCAGCCUCUGAACUGCAGACGCUGUCCUGUGUCCCUUGCCCUGGGCCCAUGCCUGGCUUGGUUAGCAGCUUUAGGUGUCCUCC
rnacentral:lncRNA from 1 species